GGUUUGGAUUCUGGCUCAGAUUGAACGUUAUGGGAUGUUUACACAUGCAAGUCGAACGGCAGCACGCAGGACUUCGGUCUGGUGGCGAGUGUGAACGGGUGAGUACUGCACUGGAACGCCUAGUAGCGGGGGAUAACUACAUGCUGAAGCGCAGCUAAUACCGCAGUUACCACGCCCUUCGGGGGAAAGCGGGGGACCUUCGGGCCUCGCACCAUUAGGAGUGGCCGAUAUCGGAUUAGUUAGCUGGUGGGGGGUAACGGCUCAUGCGACGAUCCGUGGUUGGUUUGAGGACAACCAGCCACACUGGGACUGAGACACGGCCCAGACUCCUACGGGAGUGGCAGCAGUGGGGACCGGACAGCCGGGAAACCCCUGAUCCAGCCAUCUCGCGGGUAUGAUGAAGGCCUUCGGGUUGUAAAGCACUUUUGCAGGAAAGAAACGUACGGGAUAAUACCUGCAACUGGACGGCACCUGCAGAUCACACCCGCUAACUACGCCAGCAGCCGCGGUAAUACGGUGGUAAGCGCACCGGAAUUGCUUGUAUAGCGUGCGUGCAGGCGGUUCGGGAAAGCAGUGAUGUGAAAUCCCAGAGCUUAACUUUGGAAUCCAGAUGACCACUGAGCUAGAGGCCAGAGGAGGGAAUUUCGCGUGUAGCAGUGAAAUGCGUAGAUAUGCGGAGGAACACCGAUGGCGAAGGCAGCCUCCUGGGAUAACACUCGACGCUCAUGUACGAGCGUGGGAGCAAACAGGAUUAGAUAUUCUGGUAGUCCACGCCCUAAACGAUGUCAACUUAGCUGUUGGGGCUCUCGGGCCUUGGAAAGUGGAAGCAACGGGUGUGAAGUUGACCGCCUGGGGAGUACGGUCGCAAGAUUAAAACUCAAAGGAAUUGACGGGGACCCGCACAAGCGGUGGAUGAUGUGGAUUAAUUGAUGCAACGCGAAAAACCUUACUCACCCUUGACAUGUCUGGAAUCCCGGAAGAGAUUUGGGAGUGCUCAAAAGAGAACCGGAAUAUAGGUAUGCAUGGCUACGUCAGCUCGUGUCGUGAGAUGUUGGGUUAAGUCCCGCAACGAGCGCAACUCCUUGGCUAUUAUUACAGCCGAAAGGGCACUCCCACGAGACUGCUGUGACAAACCGGAGGAAGGUGGGGAUGACGUCAAGUCCUCAUGGCCCUUAUGGGCAGGUCACACGCUACACAAUGGUCGGAGACAGAGGGUCGCCAACCCGCGGUGGGGGAGCCAAUCCCAGAAACCCUGACCGGAAGUCCGGAUCGCAGUCUGCAACUCGACUGCGGGAAGUCGGAAUCGCUAGUAAUCGCGGAUCAGCAUGUCGCGAAUACGUUCCGGGUCUUGCACACACCCGCCUGGUCACAGCACCAUGGGAGUGGGUUUUACCAGAAGUAGUUAGCUCUUAACCGUAAGGAGGGCGAUUACCGUAGGAUUCAUGGGAUUGGGGUGAAGUCGUAAAUAAAGGUAGCAGC
rnacentral:rRNA from 1 species